CACGUAGGGCGCAAGCGUUGUCCGGAAUUAUUGGGCGUAAAGAGCUCGUAGGCGGUCUGUUGCGUCCGCUGUGAAAACUCGGGGCUUAACCCCGAGCCUGCAGUGGAUACGGGCAGACUAGAGGUAGGUAGGGGAGAAUGGAAUUCCCGGUGUAGCGGUGAAAUGCGUAGAUAUCAAGAGGAACACCUGAGGCGAAGGCGGGUUGCUAGGCUGACACUGACGCUGAUGCGCGAAAGCCAGGGGAGCAAACGGG
rnacentral:rRNA from 1 species